UACGGGGGGAGCAAGCGUUGUUCGGAUUUACUGGGCGUAAAGGGCGCGUAGGCGGCGCAACAAGUCACUUGUGAAAUCUCCGGGCUUAACCCGGAGCGGCCAAGUGAUACUGUCGUGCUAGAGUGCGGAAGGGGCUACUGGAAUUCUCGGUGUAGCGGUGAAAUGCGUAGAUAUCGGGAAGAACACCCGUGGCGAAGGCGGCUCUCUGGAACGCAACUGACGCUGAGACGCGAAAGCGUGGGGAGCAAACAGG
rnacentral:rRNA from 1 species